rnacentral:lncRNA from 1 species
AGGGAAUCAGUCCUUUCACUCACAUGACCGCUCUGAAGGAAAGCUCCCUGCGGGCCUCCUCCCUGCUGUAGCUCCUAGAACCAACUGGCCCCUAGCCCUGUUCACAGGAAGUGAGAGAACUCCAGAGGCUGUUCUCUACCUCACUUCCUGUGCCUCACAUGUGCCAAUGGUGGCUCAAGCUUGGUUUAGGACAGCCCAGGGGGACAGUUAGUUAUUUCUGAUUUGUCAUUGUAGUGUGGGUGUGCACAAUUUUGGGUGCUAGACCAAGCAAGAUGGAGGAGAUUUAAAAAUCACACCAGAGAAGAUGAGAACUAAAACUAAAACUAAAAACUAAGAAUGGUCAGUCCUAGGAAAAAGUGUCUGCUAUGAUUGGUAGAAAAUUUAGUGGAAGUGACAUAAGAGAAAAUUCUCGUUAAAAGGAGGUCAACUGAAUUCAGUUGGGACUCUGAACUCAGUUCAGGUGUUCAGGAGUUCAGUGGAAGACUGGAGCUUGCUUGAGACGAUCUUGGGGUGGUAGAAGAACCCCUAAAGAUGUCAGGUGGGGUCUGUCUUUGGAUCACAGAUUUAGAGCUAAAAGGAAUUGCAAAGAUAUUUUUAUUUUUUGCUUUAAAAACAUGAUUCAAAGAAGAGAUCCAGACUGCCCAAAGGGUCCAGGACACAAGAAAUUGCUAAGCCCUCUUAUCUCGACUUACCAAUGGAGAAAGUCUGGAUCAGAGAGGGAAAUAACCUGCCUAAGGUCAUGGAAUAGAGCCAUAACUUGGACCCAAGUAUUCUGACUCAAUGUCUGGUGGUUUGUUGUUUUUUUUUUCUUCACCAUACUGAACUCUGAUCUAUAAACUGGGUGUCAGGGCAGUCCUUAAUUUCUCACCUUCCUUUGCCCCAUUCCCAU